ACGCUCGACACCUACGGGAGGCAGCAGUAGGGAAUUUUCCACAAUGGACGCAAGUCUGAUGGAGCAACGCCGCGUGAGUGAAGAAGGUCUUCGGAUCGUAAAACUCUGUUGUUAGAGAAGAACACGAGUGAGAGUAACUGUUCAUUCGAUGACGGUAUCUAACCAGCAAGUCACGGCUAACUACGUGCUAGCAGCCGCGGUAAUCUGAGCGGGCUGGCAAGGC
rnacentral:rRNA from 1 species